rnacentral:lncRNA from 1 species
CUCCUUCUCUUCCACCAAGACAGGGAUGCCUUCUUGGUAAGCACUGCAUCUUCACUAUUUGAUGAGGAAUACCCAGGGCAGCAUUUUACUACUGCUAUUACUGCUGUUGCAGUUUAUUUCAUUGAAAAAUUCAGCUCCUGAUCAACAAGACUGUUCCAUCAUGUGAAUCAAACCAAGGGACCAUACUAAACGAUUGUGUGUUGCAGUGAGUGGCAAAGAGGAUACAGUAAUGAAGUCAUGAUUCUCUGUUCUUCAGAUGAGAUCAAAGUCUGUAUCAAAGAAUUGUAUCAGAAGAAAACCGCUAAGUAUUGUGAGCAAUAAUAUUACACCCAAG